GAGUAACACGUGGAUGAUCUACCUCUUGGUGGGGGAUACCUCUGGGAAACCGGAGACAAUACCGCAUCAGCUCGCGAGAGGAAAGCCGAAAGGCGCCGAGAGAGGAGUCCGCGGCCGAUUAGCUAGUUGGCAGGGUAAAAGCCUACCAAGGCAAAGAUCGGUAGCCGGCCUGAGAGGGCACACGGCCACACUGGCACUGAAACACGGGCCAG
rnacentral:rRNA from 1 species